GGUAAAUUCAGCGCUUCUCUUUCACACAGGCGACGUUUAAGGUUCUGGGGAACCUGGAGCAAAUCACAGAAGGCACAGAGGUCACACAGGAUGAGGACCUCCAUCAUAAAAUCGUCACAGGAAUGGCCUAAAUCAAUGGCAUUGUUAGUCACUAACUACAUGGCAUUAACAAUGGAGGCUGAAGAUGAAUGAUUUUGAAGGCACUUCAAAUCCCCACUCGUGAUGCAUAGCAUCUUCUCCUCAUCCUCCUCAUCAUCACCAUCAAUCUGUGUGAUCCAGCCACAGACUCCAAGCCAAAGCAAGUACCACUAUAAGGUAUGUUGGCAUAAUUAUGUGUAAAGAAACUGUAAACUAC